AUGAAGAUUCCACACAUGAUUGGGAUCUAGCUCACCCCACCUCCCUCUUACUUGUUUCCCCAGAAGUGAACGUACAAUCUACCUUGAAGAACCAGUACAAGACUGAGAGAGUCAAGUGAGAUGGGAAAUGGUUUACCAAAGUCAAGUCCAGUGCAGAGACAAGGUCUCCAUGUAUCCAUGCAGAAAAGCUUAACAAACUCUGACCGAGACUCUCCUCCACAGUAGAGUGUCCUAGGACAAGGGAGUCAGUAUCAGAAAUGCAAGGGGGCAGCUAAGUGUGGUCAGAGAGCAGCAUCAGGAGCUGAUGGGAAGAUGAGAGCAGAGGGUAUCUUAGCAACAGAAGCAUCAUCUGCUUCCUACCAGCAGACAGGUGGACAGAUGGACUAAGGGCAGGCAGCAAAGUGCGUGACCUCUAUCUAAUCUUUAAAUUUUUAAGAAGAGGUUUGGAUUAAAAGGAAAAGUAUUCUGGUUUCUUUUUGGAAAAAAAACUAAAUCCACUAGCAGCCCCCCACACCCACCCCUACUUCUAAGGUUGUUUCUCUUUGUCUGGUAGUGCUCAAGAGCCAUUAACUAUUUUUCAGAUCCUGUAGAUCAGGCUGCACUAAAAACCCUGGAGAAAGGAGAGGUUCUUCAUCUUUCUUUUGGGAACAAAGAAAAGAGACAAAUUGGCUCUAUCUCUAGAGCCAAGAAGGCUCUGCUGCAUUUGGACUUGUCUACCAGCCCCUAUGGAUAGCAGUUUUGUUACACUGAAUUAUGGUGAGAAGGGAUUAAGCCAGAGUAUUUCCUGAGCCCUCGUUUGGGUUGGAUGGCUCUCUCCUUUGCCAUCCCAUUUUCCACCUGCAAUAUUUUCCUUUUCCUUUUUUAUCUCCCUACCUAUGGAAAGUUCUUUCAUCCCUGGAGGUCCCCAGAAGUCAGUCUUUCCACUCUGGGAUGCGCGCGCGCGCGCAUACACGCACACACACACACACACACGCACGCACGCACACACACAAACACACACACACACACACACACACACACACACACACACACCGCCUUCUGGACUGAGCAGGGAAGAGAG
ensembl:lncRNA